AGCUCGUAGUUGGAUUUCUGUUAAUUGCUUUAUAUAAUUUAUGCUUUGCUGCAUAUUUAUAUAGUAUUAACAUAAUUCAUAUUACUAUAUUUUUCUAGUAUAUGAAACUUUACUUUGAGAAAAUUAGAGUGCUUAAAGCAGGCUUUUGCCUUGAAUACUUCAGCAUGGAAUAAUAAUAAAAGAUUUUUAUCUUUCUUUAUUGGUUCUAAGAUAGAAAUAAUGAUUAAUAGGGACAGUUGGGGGCAUUUGUAUUUAACAGUUAGAGGUGAAAUUCUUAGAUUUGUUAAAGACAAACUAGUGCGAAAGCAUUUGCCAAGGAUGUUUUCAUUAAUCAAGAACGAAAGUUAGGGGAUCGAAGACGAUCAGAUACCGUCGUAGUCUUAACCAUAAACUAUGCCAACUAGAGAUUGGAGGUUGUUCCUUACUCCUUCAGCACCUUA
rnacentral:rRNA from 1 species